UACGUAGGGUGCGAGCGUUAAUCGGAAUUACUGGGCGUAAAGGGUGCGCAGGCGGCGUCGCAAGUCAGGCGUGAAAUCCCCGGGCUUAACCUGGGAAUGGCACUUGAAACUACGAUGCUGGAGUAUGGCAGAGGGAGGUGGAAUUCCACGUGUAGCGGUGAAAUGUGUAGAGAUGUGGAGGAACACCGAUGGCGAAGGCAGCCUCCUGGGCCAAUACUGACGCUCAUGCACGAAAGCGUGGGGAGCAAACAGG
rnacentral:rRNA from 1 species